rnacentral:rRNA from 1 species
UACGAAGGGGGCUAGCGUUGCUCGGAAUUACUGGGCGUAAAGGGCGCGUAGGCGGCAAUUCAAGUCAUCUGUGAAAUCUCCGGGCUUAACUCGGAACUGUCAGAUGAUACUGCUUUGCUAGAGUGCAGAAGGGGCAAUCGGAAUUCUUGGUGUAGCGGUGAAAUGCGUAGAUAUCAAGAGGAACACCUGAGGUGAAGACGGGUUGCUGGGCUGACACUGACGCUGAGGCGCGAAAGCCAGGGGAGCAAACGGG